CAUAUACUCCCUCCGUCCCAAAAUAAGUGACUCAACUUUGUACUACAAAGUUGAGUCACUUAUUUUGGGACGGAGGGAGUACAAU
rnacentral:pre_miRNA from 1 species